rnacentral:lncRNA from 1 species
GUUAAGUCCCAACUCUGUGAUUUGCAGUUGUGUGAUCUUGGGUAACUUUUGUUCUCUAAGCAACAAUGUCCUCAUCUGUAAGGUGAGACUAGUUUCUCUCUUGUAUAGCUGUUGUGUAGAUUAAGUGACAAAGUGUAUGAAGUACAUCUGUGAAGUACAUACAUAGAUGUAUGAAGUACAUACUAUGAAGUUCUGUGCCUGCCACCAAGGACACCCUCAGUAAGUGAGAGCUGCUGUCAUCAUCUGCCUUCCCCUUGCCCAUUCCUCCUCCUUCUCUUCUUCCUCUCCUUCUCUUCUUCUUCCUCCUCCUCUUCUUUUCCCUUCUCCCUUCCUCUUUCUACUUCCUUCUCCUCUUCUUUUCCUCUUCUACCUCUUCCUCUUCCCUCUUUCUUAUCUUCAUUGUAACUACUCAACCUCAUCAGAACUAUUGACAAUGUUUUUAUCCCUAAGGUUUGCUUUUUCUCUGGCAAACACAGCAAAGAAGCAACAAUAAUCGUAUCCUGUCUUUGGCCCCACCUUCUGCACUGUCUUUCUCCCAUUUCAUGCUUGCAAAGCCAUCUUUCUUUGAUUCUCUUCCCCAAGCAUGACCAUAACAGUAAUUGUCCAAGGGGCACAAGACAUCCUCCUCCCUGUCACUGGGCACUGACAUUGGGUAGCAUGGCCUUUCAUGGCCUUGCCACUGGGGUAAACGCUUUGGUCCUAGUGUGGGUUCAGUGACUUUGGCAGGAGCUUCUGAUCCCACAAAAUCAUAUCCUUCCCC